rnacentral:lncRNA from 1 species
AGUUCCUCUCACCCUGCAGAUCAAGAUGCCCUGAGGGCAAAGAGCAGAGGGGUGCUCUCUGGUGGCCCAGCAGUUCUGCCCCAGGGGAGAGGUUUCUCUUUUACUACCGCGAAAACCCACAGGACGCUGCUUCAUCCCAGAGCCAAGGAUACCAGGAAGGAAGGUCAGAGUGAGGAGGUGUCUGAGUGUUUCAGAUCACACAGUGACAUACUGCUUGAUGGCUUCAGAAAUCCUUCAUGAGCUGGGAGACAGCCCCAGAGGUGACAGCCCCAACCAUCUCGAGGACAACACAUCAGCAGCAGCAGCCACGUAGAUGUUUGUUUCUGUACCUGGAUUCUAAGUGCCUGAAGGACUGGACAUAUCUGGUUUCUAAGUUCCAGGAGGACUGGACACAUCCAUCACCCACGUGUAAACCCAGCACCUAGCACAGUGCCUGCCAUACGAUAGGGUUUAAGACGCAUGGGAGGAAUCUAAUCAUCAGACUACCAAAGGGCUGCUAGAACUCAGAAAGGGAUCCCCAUCAUUUGGGGGAUGGGAUAAAGGUCUUCAUUUCUGUUCUUUCCAGCACCAACCUCCAUGGCUCCACUCAUCCCUGCUCCUUCCUCCUAUUAAGAUUGGCUGGUCAGGAGAGGGGUAGGGGCAGGAGCAGCUAUACCUGGUCUCCUCCACCAUCCACGGUGGGGUGCACUCUUGGUGGGACCUGGUGAGCAUGACAGCACCUGGGCCUAGGGGACCUGGAGCCUCCACAGACCCACAGAGAGCAAGAGGAGCUGUUCAGCCACUUGCAGAGACAGCCAGAGAGUGCUUCAAGGACUGCGUGGAGCUCUGGAGAAGCAGGGAAUUCAGGGCCCUCUUUUGUGAGGCAUGAGAAAUUUAGGCAGGAUCAUGUCUACAAAAGAGGCUGUCACUUUGGCUUAUCAAUAUUUUCACCUCGUUACCCCUUCCAGAUCAGAAUGGGUGCUUUAUUUGUUUUUAUGGAUUAUUGUGUCAACCAAAACGAGAGUUCAGAGUCACUCUAAAGAUUUGAAACUCCUUCAAGAUUUGAUGAAUGCGCAUUUUGAUGCCACAUCUAUUUUUAGAAAGCUGUGGCUGAAUAAAGCAUUUUAUUGUAUAGCAUUAAAAAAAAAAAAAAAAAAAAAAAAAA